GGGUGUGAGGGCAAUCUGGCUGUGACAUUGGUCACCCCAUUUAUUGCCAGGGCUGAUUCAGCUGAUCUGGCUGGCUAGGCAGGUGUCCCUUUCUUCCCUCACCACUCAUGUGCGUCCCUCCUGAAGCUGCACACUGGGUUGUUUAAAAGGACGACCAUCCCUGAUAAAGGAGGACCAUUCUUCAGUCAAGGAUAUACUGGUAGCUGUGCUCCCCUGCUAGAACCACCAAACAAUCUCUUGAGAACUUUCCUGUAUGAGGCUCUUUGCACUAUCUGGAUGCUUAGAAUUCUUGCCCUGAUUUUCACUGACUGACCCUUGUGAGCUAGAGCAAUCAUGGCUUAAAUGUCACCUA
rnacentral:snRNA from 1 species